UGCUCCUACGGGAGGCAGCAGUGAGGAAUAUUGGUCAAUGGGCGGGAGCCUGAACCAGCCAAGUCGCGUGAGGGAUGACGGCCCUAUGGGUUGUAAACCUCUUUUGCCGGGGAGCAAAGUGCCGCACGUGUGCGGUUUGGAGAGUACCCGGAGAAAAAGCAUCGGCUAACUCCGUGCCAGCAGCCGCGGUAAUACGGAGGAUGCGAGCGUUAUCCGGAUUUAUUGGGUUUAAAGGGUGCGUAGGCGGAUUUUUAAGUCAGCGGUAAAAUGUCCGGGCUCAACCCGGGCCGGCCGUUGAAACUGGG
rnacentral:rRNA from 1 species